GCGAGUGAAGCGGGAACAGCUCAAAUUUGAAAUCUGGCCCUUGGGUCCGAGUUGUAAUUUGCAGAGGAUGCUUUUGGUGCGGUGCCUUCCGAGUUCCCUGGAACGGGACGCCUUAGAGGGUGAGAGCCCCGUACGGUUGGACACCAAGCCUAUGUAAAGCUCCUUCGACGAGUCGAGUAGUUUGGGAAUGCUGCUCAAAAUGGGAGGUAUAUUUCUUCUAAAGCUAAAUAUUGGCCAGAGACCGAUAGCGCACAAGUAGAGUGAUCGAAAGAUGAAAAGCACUUUGAAAAGAGGGUUAAAUAGCACGUGAAAUUGUUGAAAGGGAAGGAUUUAUGACCAGACUUUUUCUAGGGGGAUCAUCCGGUGUUCUCACCGGUGCACUUCCCCUAGUUGAGGCCAGCAUCGGUUUCUGUCGGGGGAUAAAAGCUUCAGGAAUGUGGCUCCCUCCGGGGAGUGUUAUAGCCUGUUGCAUAAUACCCUGACGGGGACCGAGGUUCGCGCAUUGCAAGGAUGCUGGCGUAAUGGUUAUUAAUCACCCGUCUUGAAACACGGACCAAGGAGUCGAACAUUUGUGCGAGUGUUUGGGUGUUAAACCCUCACGCGUAAUGAAAGUGAACGGAGGUGAGAGCCUUUAGGGGUGCAUCAUCGACCGAUCCUGAUGUCUUCGGAUGGAUUUGAGUAAGAGCAUUAAUGUUCGGACCCGAAAGAUGGUGAACUAUGCGUGGAUAGGGUGAAGCCAGAGGAAACUCUGGUGGAGGCUCGCAGCGGUUCUGACGUGCAAAUCGAUCGUCAAAUCUGCGCAU
rnacentral:rRNA from 1 species